rnacentral:lncRNA from 1 species
CUCUCUGGGGAUUGAGGAUUCUGUAACUCUCUUUUACUCCUUUUUUCCCUCUCAGAGUGCCCCUUCUGCUUCUGCUAGUCUUUGCAAUGAGGAACAAAAAAGCAGCAGCGACUGGUCUCCACAGCACCAUUUAUAAUUUCCCCAUACCACUGAGGCAAUAUGUUGGAUAAUCAUCUCUUAGUAGUUUAUAACAUCUGCUAGUCAAUUUAGAAGUGAUGGAGCUGCACAGCAUUGUUUCUUCAACGAGUGAGAAGUGAUUGGUUUUCCUUUUUUGGUAAAGAUGCAGUGAUGGGAAGGCAAUGCAGACUGUGGUGAUGAGGAGGCAUUGCAAUGAUUCAAUCUCUAGUGCUC